GAUGAACGCUGGCGGCGUGCCUAAUACAUGCAAGUCGAGCGAACAGACGAGGAGCUUGCUCCUCUGACGUUAGCGGCGGACGGGUGAGUAACACGUGGAUAACCUACCUAUAAUACUGGGAUAACUUCGGGAAACCGGAGCUAAUACCGGAUAAUAUAUUUAACCGCAUGGUUCAAUAGUGAAAGACGGUUUUGCUGUCACUUAUAGAUGUAUCCGCGCCGCAUUAGCUAGUUGGUAAGGUAACGGCUUACCAAGGCAACGAUGCGUAGCCGACCUGAGAGGGUGAUCGGCCACACUGGAACUGAGACACGGUCCAGACUACUACGGGAGGCAGCAGUAGGGAAUCUUCCGCAAUGGGCGAAAGCCUGACGGAGCAACGCCGCGUGAGUGAUGAAGGUCUUCGGAUCGUAAAACUCUGUUAUUAGGGAAGAACAAAUGUGUAAGUAACUAUGCACGUCUUGACGGUACCUAAUCAGAAAGCCACGGCUAACUACGUG
rnacentral:rRNA from 1 species